UACAGAGGGUGCUAGCGUUGUUCGGAAUUAUUGGGCGUAAAGCGCGUGUAGGCGGUCUACCAAGUUGGGUGUGAAAGCCCUCGGCUUAACCGAGGAAGUGCGCCCAAAACUAGCAGACUCGAGUACCGGAGAGGGUGGCGGAAUUCCCGGUGUAGAGGUGAAAUUCGUAGAUAUCGGGAGGAACACCAGCGGCGAAGGCGGCCACCUGGACGGAUACUGACGCUGAGACGCGAAAGCGUGGGGAGCAAACAGG
rnacentral:rRNA from 1 species